rnacentral:rRNA from 1 species
CAAGGUUUGGUCCUGACCUUGAAUCAAUUUUUACUUAAAUUACACAUGCAAGUCUCCGCACCCCUGUGAAAACGCCCUUAAACCCCCGAUAGGGGUAAGGAGCUGGUAUCAGGCUCAACCCAAGCCCAAGACACCUAGCUAUGCCACACCCACAAGGGUAUUCAGCAGUGAUCAAUAUUGAUAAUAAGCGUAAGCUUGACUCAGUUAAAGUAAAUAGGGCCGGCAAAUCUGGUGCCAGCCGCCGCGGUUACACCACGUGGCUCAAAUUGAUUUUUACCGGCGUAAAGCGUGAUUAAAGCUAUUUUAAACUGUAAUUAAACUAAAAUUAAGCUGUAACACGCUUAUUAUAUCGAAACCCAUAAACGAAAGUUAUUACAACAUGACCAACUUGAACUCACGACAACUAGGAAACAAACUGGGAUUAGAUACCCCACUAUGCCUAAUCGUAAACUUUAACCUACACUCAAAUCGCCAGGGAACUACGAGCAAAGCUAAAACCCAAAGACUGACGA